AUGUGUUAUGUGUUUCAGGUACCAAUGAUGAUCGCGGGAAGGCGCCGGCAUGAUUCGUACACACGCACACUGGAGUUUAUAUAUUUUUGAUCUUGGGUUUUGUACUGAUACAAUGUUGACACAAUGCUUUUAUUUAUGAUUACAAAUGAUAUUUUAUGGAUUUUAAAAGUGAAAAAAUGUUCAAAUUUUUAUGGUGUUACAAGUUGGUAUCAGAGCCUUUUUGGGCGUAUCUGAACUCAAAGUGGGGAUUUGAGGAAAAUUUUAAUAAUAAAGUAAGAUAUUUGAAAAAGAGUGAAAAGAAUUUUGAGACAAACAGAGCAGAGCCGUGUGUACGAUCAGCCAGUGCCCGAACGGUGAUUUCCCAAAAUACCCUCAUAAUAAGUGUUAUCAGAUAUGCUAUGUUAUACUAUAUGAUGAAUUACGAUAUGCAUGCUAGAGUAGACUAGGUAUUCUUAUUAGGACUAGAGUGGCCUGAUAUAUGAUGCCUUAGUCUAGGGGUUUUGCUGCUAGAAAUGCUUAAUAGUGUUUAGAUAGCAGCGAGGUGCUUAUGAGAGAUCUGCUAGCGAGUAGCACAUUAUAGAGAAAGUAGAGUACUUGGGAUUUGGGGCUCAAGGAGGAGGACUUGGGAUGAAUGCUGAUGCGGUAUGGAUGGUAGUAUUGGGACCGUACUACUGAAGAUACCGGGUUGGUGCACAGUCCAGGUAAGAAUCCUUAGGGCGCUAAGGAACAAGUAGGGUGGAGUUAUUGAGUGUGAUUAUACUCAAGGGGGUCCCUAAUAUUAUUAUGUUGUAUUUCAGAGGGAGACCAUGGUUGAGACACGCCACACACCAGAGGGCAGUAGCACGAGCGAGGCUGAGAUCCAUAGGAUCAUUCAGGAGGAGGUGGCUGCAGCCAUCAGGGCAGAGAUACCAGAGAUGUUCGGGUCUAUCAAGACCACUCUGAUUAAGACAUUUGACGAGAGAUACGCUGCUCUUUCUAAGGCUGCUGUUGCUGCGGCCACUACAACUAUAGCUGCGAUGAGGCCGCAGGGUGGUGAUGCAUUGCUGUUCCGGGAAUUCAGCAACACGAAACCACCAGAGUUCGAUGAGACCCAGGACCCGAUUGCGUCAAUGAGGUGGAUAUCAGACAUUGAGGGGAGUUUCUUUACUUACUCAUCCCCUGAGCAUUUGAGAGUUCGGUUCGCACUAAACCAGCUUCGCUUGGGAGCGAAGGACUGGUGGAAGUUUGUGACGGCGCACUACACACCUGCUGAGCUUGCUGUAGUAACCUGGGAGAGGUUCACUGCUAUGUUUCGAGAUGAGUAUGUUCCCCUGGUGGAGAGGCAGCGAUUGGCACAGGAGUUUCUGACCCUCAAGCAGGGUACUGAGUCGGUGACAGCAAUUACUCGGAAGUUUCAUGAGAGGGCGAUGUUCUGCCCAGAGCACGUGUCCUUCGAGCAGGCACGUAUGAGCCAAUAUUUUAGUGUGUUGAGGAGGGAUAUAAGAGAGUUUGUGGCGAAGUCAUCGUAUCGGAUGUUUGCUGAGCUUCAUGCAAACGCCCGAAAGAGGGAAAUAGAGUUGGAGACCCAAGCUAGGGAGGAGGCUGAGUCUCAGGGAAAGGAUCGGCGGCCGACUCAGUCUCAGCCGACAGCCAAGCGGGCCAANGCCAAACCCGCUGAUUCAAGAUCUGGGAACCAGAGGGGCCGCACUUGUGGCAAGGGCGGCAAGAGCCAUGAUGGGAUAUGCAGAGCGGGGUCUUGCUACAAGUGUGGCAAGGAGGGGCAUAUGGCCAAAGAAUGCCCCAAGGGAUUUUCAGUUUGUUUUCAUUGCAACCAGACCGGACACCGGAAGGUAGAGUGUCCACAGUUGAGAGGGUCCACACAAGGAGCAUCUCCGGGAUCUGCCCCUGCUACGGUGAGAGCUACGGAUGUUCGGCUUGCAAAGGUCGAGGCAUCGAAGGCACGAAGGAGAGCCUUCCAGCUGACUGCGGAGGAGGUCCGCGCAGCACCCGAUGUCGUGGCCGGUAUGUAUUUUUUCUUGUAUUCUUUUGUAUAUUGAGAUUUUGUGCUUAUAUUAUGUUAUGCGUAGGUACUUUCCUUGUGCAUUUUGUGCCUGCUCUAGUGUUAUUUGACUUGGGUGCGAGUCGAUCUUUUGUAUCGUUGGCUUUUAGCCGACACAUCAGUAUUAGUCGAGAGGCGUUGAGUCGACCUCUAAGAGUGUCCAUAGCGGAUGAGAGAGCGGUGUAUGCCACCGAGGUGAUUCGUGGUUGUGUACUCGAGAUUUUCGGAGUAUAGUUUCCAAUCGAUUUAGUCCCCAUUGCGAUGGGAGAUGUCUGUGUCAUCAUGGGCAUGGACUGGUUGAGCCGAUUUGGAGCGAUCAUCGACUGCGAGCGACAGCUGGUGACCAUGUGAGACCCUAAUGGGGGAAAUCUUACAGUGUACGGCGAGGGUACACGUUCUGGUUCAACGUUUUGUUCAGCCGCUAGUGCGAGGCAGAGUCUUCAGCAGGGGUGUAAGGGAUUUAUAGCGUAUAUGAUGGACGCGAGGGUUGAAUCAGAGAGACCGAGGUCAGUAAAAGAGGUUCCGAUAGUGUGUGAGUUCCCAUAUGUAUUCCCGGAGGAGUUGCCGGGUGUUUAGUAUUGAUUUGGUCCCGGGGGAUACACCUAUCGCCAAGGCGCCCUAUCGUCUUACGCCUCCAGAGAUGCAGGAGUUUUCCUCGCAGCUAUAGGAGUUGCUGGGGAAGGGAUUUAUUCGGCCGAGCAGUUCGCCUUAGGGAGCUCCUAUCCUUUUCGUCAAGAAAAAGGAUGGUUCACACCGGAUGUGCAUUGAUUACCGGGAGUUGAACAAGUUGACGGUCAAGAACCGUUACCCUUUGCCGAGGAUUGAUGAUUUGUUCAAUCAGUUGCAGGGAGCAUCUUGGUUCUCCAAGAUCGAUUUGAGGUCGGGAUACCAUCAGGUGAGGGUGCGAGAUGAGGAUAUCCAGAAGACAGCAUUCAGGACUCGUUACGGGUAUUACGAGUUCGUGGUGAUGCCUUUCAGGCUCACCAACGCACCAGCAAUGUUCAUGGAUCUCAUGAACAGGGUGUGUAGACCGAUGUUGGAUCGCUCGGUGAUCGUAUUCAUCGAUGACAUUUUGGUGUAUUCGAGAUCUAGAGAGUAGCAUGAGGAGCAUCUAAGGGAGAUUCUAGGGGUUUUGAGAUCGAAGAGGAUUUAUGCCAAAUUCUCCAAGUGUGAUUUCUGGUUACGAGAAGUCCAGUUCCUGGGAGAUCUCGUUAAUCAAAAAGAGAUAUUGGUUGACCCGGCCAAGAUUGAGGGGGUGAUGAGUUGGGAGGUGCCGAGGUCACCCACGGAGAUCAGGAGUUUCCUAGGACUGGCAGGCUAUUAUCAGAGAUUCAUCAGAGAUUUCUCAAAGAUCGUUGUGCCACUCACUAAGCUGACCCGAAAGGGUGUAGCUUUUGCUUGGAGUCCAGAGCAGCAGGCCUCCUUCGAGACACUUCGCCAGAGACUAUGCGAAGCGCCGGUGUUAGCCCUUCCGGAGGGAAUGGAGGAUUUUGUGGUAUAUUGUGACGCGUCGAUAUUAGGGUUAGGAGCAGUGCUUAUGCAGAGAGGGCAUGUGAUAGCAUAUGCAUCGAGACAGCUGAAGCCUCAUGAGGCGAGGUAUCCUACCCACGAUUUAGAGUUGGGGGCAGUAGUGUUCGCCCUCAAGAUCUGGCGUUACUAUCUGUAUGGGGUCCGGUGUACCAUAUACACGGAUCACAAGAGCCUGAAGUACUUGAUGGAUCAGCCCAACCUGAAUAUGCGACAUAGGAGAUGGCUGGAUGUGGUAAAUGAUUAUGAUUGUGAGAUCCUGUAUCACCCGGGGAAGGCCAACGUGGUAGCCGAUGCCCUGAGUCAUAGGGCGGAGAGUGUUCCGAUGCGUGAAAUUUGUAUGAGAUUGACAGUGAUGACUCCGAUGUUGGACACCAUUCGAGGAGCCCAGGCCGAGGUCGUGAGACCAGAAAACCAGAAGAGAGAGCGAGUUAUCAGGCAAGUAUCGGAGUUCGUUACCGAUAGCCGUGGGCUCAUGACAUUUCACGGUCGGAUUUGGGUGCCAUUUGUGGGCGGAACGCGUACCAUUUUGAUGGAGGAGGCACAUCGAUCGAAGUUCUCGAUCCAUCAUGGGGCCACUAAGAUGUAUUUGGACCUAAAAAGGGAGUAUUGGUGGCCCUGUAUGAAGAGGGACAUUGCAUGGUUUGUGGAGAGGUGCCUAACCUGUCGCAGGGUUAAGGCUGAGCACCAGAGACCGCACGACAAGUUGCAGCCGUUAGAGAUCCCCGAGUGGAAGUGGGAACAGAUUGCUAUAGACUUUAUCACAAAAUUGCCGAGGACUAUGAGGGGUGUCGAUGCAAUUUGGGUGAUUGUAGACAGAUUGACGAAGAGCGCUCAUUUCCUUGCUAUCAGUGAGAGCUCUUCCGCAGGGGGGUUGGCGGAGAUAUACGUGAGGGAGGAUGUAUCGCGGCACGGAGUGCUGAUCUCGAUUGUCUCAGAUCGAGAUAUGUGCUUCACUUCCAGAUUCUGGAAGAAAUUUCAUGAGGAUUUGGGUACGAGACUGCAUUUUAGUACCACAUACCACCCACAAACCGAUGGGCAGAGCGAGCGGACGAUACAGACGCUCGAGGACAUGCUCCGAGCAUGUGUGUUGGAUUUCGGCAGGAGUUGGGACACGUAUUUUCCCUUGGCAGAGUUUUCCUACAACAACAACCAUCAUUCGAGCAUUGGUAUGCCACCCUUUGAGCUGUUGUAUGGGAGGAGAUGUCGGACCCCCAUUUGCUGGGGGGAGGUAGGGCAGCAUGUGAUGGGUAGUACGGAGAUCGUGCUUCAGAAGACUGAGCAGAUACAGCAGGUCAGGCAGAGGUUGUUGACCGCUUAGAGUCGUCAGAAGAGUUAUGUGGACAGACGCCGGUCCAAGCUCGAGUUCCAGGUCGGCGACUUCGUACUCCUGAAGGUCUCUCCUUGGAAAGGAGUGAUCUGAUUCAGGAAGAGGGGCAAGUUGGGGCCCCAAUAUAUCGGUCCGUUCAGGGUGAUCGCGAGGGUAGGCAGGGUAGCCUACCGGUUGGAGCUACCUGCAAAGCUAGGUCAGAUUCACGACACCUUCCACGUGUCGCAACUGAGAAAGUGUAUAGCCGACGAGUCGGCGGUGGUGCCAUUAGAGGAUAUUUAGGUGGAUGUGGGCCUGAACUACGUUGAGAGACUGAUGGCAAUUCAGGAUCGAAAGAUCAAGGUUCUGAGGAACAAGGAAGUGCCUCUGGUGCAGGUCCAGUGGCAGCAUUGGAAAGGGUCAGAGCUUACUUGGGAGCCGGAGCAUGAGAUGUGUGAGCAGCAUCCGAAGUUGUUUUCAGAGUGAGACUUCGAGGGCGAAGUCUGAUUCUAGUGGGGGAGAAUUGUAACAUCCAGAUUCCCAGGUAUAUUAUUUUAUUUAAUUAUUUUUGGAGUUUGUGGAGGAACUCGGCGAUAUGUUGCCAAGACUCGCCGAGUAUGGUCGCGGAUGUUCAUCCGAGUUCACGUCUGGACUCGGCGGGUCCAUUCGUGGACUCGGCGAGUCCAUGCUGUUUAAUGAAACCCUAAUCCCCUGGGUUUGGGGCCUAUUUAAGGGCACUUAUAGCCUCCCAUUGCGGCUACCAGUCCCUUGAGAGAACCCUAAGUGAGCCAAAUCGUUUGUGAGGAAGGAGAAGUCAUAUUUGAUCCUUCUACCUUUGGUUUAGCAAGAAGAAGGUGACCAAGAGCAAGAGGAGGUACGAUUCUAGUAGUUCCAGAGUUCAGAGACUUCAUUUUUAGGUAAUGGUUCGAACCUUCUUCAGUUUUGGUGUUGAUCUUUAGAGAUAUGGUUUUCUAACCCCUAUUGAGGGUGGUUAUGUGGAGCAAUUCGUCCCUCCUCGAGUUUGUGCCUUGGAUCUGGACUCAAAGAGGUCCAUAGACCUUAACCCUUGGAGCUUUAUGAAUCAGUUUGGGGUUAUUGGGCUUAGGUUGCCAUUUUUGGGACUAAAUCACCCUUUGAUGCCUUGUUAUUGAUAUAUAAGAAUCAAGAUUCUGACUUUACAUGACAUUCAUGCUUGGGAAGGCCAGAUCUAUGGUUUAGGGGCACAUAUCUGACCUCAUGAGGUCAAUAGAGUUUGUGCAUGGCAUGGACUCGCCGAUUUGUUCUUGAGACUCGGCGAGUAGAGUUAGGGUUUUACGUAAAUCACUUAGUGUGUAGACUUGCCGAGUUGGGGGAUAACUCAGUGAGUCAGAAGGGGAUUAGAGGACUGGAGUUCAAGGCUAUACUCGCCGAGUUAUUCUUGAGACUCGGCGAGUUGAGUCGGGGUGGCCCCGUGAUUCAUGCCCGGUGUGACUCGUCGAGCAUAGGGAGGGACUCAACGUACCAAGCGGGACAAAGAGUUAGUGGACACGUGUGUACUCGCCGAGUCGCCGGAGGGCACUCGGCGAGUUGGGUCAAAGUUUGACCGUUGACUUUGGUUGACUUUUAGGGUUUGCUCAACAAUGGAGUCCUUGAGUCAAGAGGGGGGUAAAAUAGUCUUUUACCCUUCCGAGGGUGCCCAUGGAGGGUUGAGUCUAGUCUCGAGAGUUAUAUUUAUGAGAGUAUUUACUUUAUGUGAAUAGGCGGAGGCUAGACAAUAUUUCUAUCGAGUCAGAGAAUUACGGAGACGCCUGAGGUGAGUCUUCUCACUAUACUUUACCUAGUGUGGUAAUAGAGUUUUGUGAUAGAGUAUUUUAGAGUUAUAUGCCAGUGUAAUUUUCUGUUAUUUAUGUGUUGUAAUUUAUUGUGAUAUGUGAUAUGCAUGAUUCAAAGUUAUCAGAGUUAGGACCUUUGGGUCCAUAGAUUUAGGCCCAGAGGGCCCACAGAGAGUUGGAGCUGGAGGGCCCUACUGAGACACAUUGACCCGAGGGUCAACAGAGUUACAACCUCGAGUGGCUAUUAUGUGUUAGAGUGGUAUUUUGGGGAACUCACUAAGCAUUUAUGCUUACAAUGUUAUAUGUUAUGUGUUUCAGGUACCAGUGAUGAUCACGGGAAGGCGCCGACAUGAUUCGUACACACGCACACUGGAGUUUAUAUAUUUUUGAUCUUGGGUUUUAUACUGAUACAAUGCUUUUAUUUAUGAUUACAAAUGAUAUUUUAUGGAUUUUAAAAGUGAAAAAUUGUUCAAAUUUUUACGGUGUUACAUAAUCGAUCCUAUAUCCGAAGCAUAUGGGACACGAUUCAUGAUGUCUCACAAAAAGACUAAACCUGUCUUUUGCUAUAACAUUUCCAUUUCUAUUUGCCAAGUUCUCAUAAUUCAAAUUAUGAAAAGGGAUACUGUAAUCAUAAUCAAAUUUUAGAAUGCAAAUAAUGGACCCAUAUACAGAAUUUCCUUAUGUUGAUCCAUUCCAACAUGAAAUUCAUAUAUAUAUCCUUGACUAAAUGAUUAAAACCUCACGAUCAAAGCUUAUAGAUUUGAGAUGAAGUAUAAUUUCCUCUCCCUUAAUUAUAGCAAAACAACUCUUUCCUAAUUGAAACUUUUGUUUUCUAUAAUUAACAUUGCUAACUUGCAACCUUUAUCAUAAUUAUCAUGCUCCCACUAACAUGAUGAUUAUUAGCAUAACACUUAUGCUCCCACUAGCUUUGACAUGUACUCAGAAAUUAGCUGACUUUCUUACCAAAGUUCAUAUUUCUGAUACUAGAUUGUUUUGAUAAGACUUUAUCAAAAUCAUACACCUUCCCUUAGAUAGCACACUUGUGUGUCUAAACAAUUAUGAAGAGGGAUGCCGUAAUCAUAAUGGUUAGACCUUUUUGCCACUUCUCACAAGUCCANAUCAGCUGGACUUCUAGAAAUCAAUACUUUAUUGACUUUCUUACCAAAGUUCAGAUUUCUGAUACUAGAUUGCUUUGAUAAAACUUUAUCAAUAUCAUACACCUUAUCUUAGAUAGCUCACAGGUGUGUCUAAACAAUUUAAGAACUAUGAAAAGGGAUGCCGUAAUCAUAGUCUCAAUUGUUUAGACCUUUGCCACUUCUCACAAGUCCAUGUUAGGGUGCCGGUUAACCACACAGCUCCACUAACGACUUUGAGAAUGCAAAUAUCACAAUUGCUAUCUAGCUAAAAUCUACUUAGUGAAAGUGUUUCCUCACCAUCAUUUUCAUGAAUCGGAGAGAAACCUUAUGACACUUAGAUUUAAUGGUGUAUGUGUUC
rnacentral:lncRNA from 1 species